AUCGCGAGACUGGCAUAGAAAAGAUAGACGUGGAGAAACUAGUCAGCAGCCAUUAACACCAUUGGGUAGAAAAGGGAGAAAGUACGUAUACAUGUAUGACUGCUAGGAGACACUGUUGAAGAAAAAGAUCAUCAAGAUAGGAAGAAGCAGAAGAAUGUCUGCUAUCAUGUCGAAGUACUUCGUGAGAAGUAGAGUGUCUACUGAAAUCAGACUGAAUACUGGCUCCUCG